rnacentral:rRNA from 1 species
AGAGUUUGAUCCUGGCUCAGGAUGAACGCUGGCGGCGUGCUUAACACAUGCAAGUCGAACGAGCCUUCGGGCUAGUGGCGGACGGGUGAGUAACGCGUGAGAAUCUGCCCUCAGGAGGGGGAUAACGGCUGGAAACGGCCGCUAAUACCCCAUAUGCCGCGAGGUGAAACGAGUUUUCGCCUGAGGAUGAGCUCGCGUCUGAUUAGCUAGUUGGUGGGGUAAGAGCCUACCAAGGCAUCGAUCAGUAGCUGGUCUGAGAGGAUGAUCAGCCACACUGGGACUGAGACACGGCCCAGACUCCUACGGGAGGCAGCAGUGGGGAAUUUUCCGCAAUGGGCGCAAGCCUGACGGAGCAACGCCGCGUGAGGGAUGAAGGCCUCUGGGCUGUAAACCUCUUUUCUCAAGGAAGAAGAACUGACGGUACUUGAGGAAUAAGCCACGGCUAAUUCCGUGCCAGCAGCCGCGGUAAUACGGGAGUGGCAAGCGUUAUCCGGAAUUAUUGGGCGUAAAGCGUCCGCAGGCGGUCUUGAAAGUCUGUUGUUAAAGCGUGGAGCUCAACUCCAUUUCAGCAAUGGAAACUAGAAGACUAGAGUGUGGUAGGGGCAGAGGGAAUUCCCGGUGUAGCGGUGAAAUGCGUAGAUAUCGGGAAGAACACCAGUGGCGAAGGCGCUCUGCUGGGCCAUAACUGACGCUCAUGGACGAAAGCCAGGGGAGCGAAAGGGAUUAGAUACCCCUGUAGUCCUGGCCGUAAACGAUGAACACUAGGUGUCGGGGGAAUCGACCCCCUCGGUGUCGUAGCUAACGCGUUAAGUGUUCCGCCUGGGGAGUACGCACGCAAGUGUGAAACUCAAAGGAAUUGACGGGGGCCCGCACAAGCGGUGGAGUAUGUGGUUUAAUUCGAUGCAACGCGAAGAACCUUACCAGGGUUUGACAUCCUGCGAAUCUUUUGGAAACAGAAGAGUGCCUUCGGGAGCGCAGAGACAGGUGGUGCAUGGCUGUCGUCAGCUCGUGUCGUGAGAUGUUGGGUUAAGUCCCGCAACGAGCGCAACCCACGUCUUUAGUUGCCAGCAUUCAGUUGGGCACUCUAGAGAGACCGCCGGUGAUAAGCCGGAGGAAGGUGUGGAUGACGUCAAGUCAUCAUGCCCCUUACAUCCUGGGCUACACACGUACUACAAUGCUACGGACAAAGGGCAGCAAACUCGCGAGAGCUAGCAAAUCCCAUAAACCGUGGCUCAGUUCAGAUCGUAGGCUGCAACUCGCCUACGUGAAGGAGGAAUCGCUAGUAAUCGCAGGUCAGCAUACUGCGGUGAAUACGUUCCCGGGCCUUGUAC